UACGUAGGGUCCGAGCGUUGUCCGGAAUUAUUGGGCGUAAAGAGCUCGUAGGCGGCUUGUCGCGUCGAAUGUGAAAUCUCAGGGCUCAACUCUGACAUUGCAUUCGAUACGGGCAGGCUCGAGUUCGGUAGGGGAGACUGGAAUUCCUGGUGUAGCGGUGAAAUGCGCAGAUAUCAGGAGGAACACCGAUGGCGAAAGCAGAUCUCUGGGCCGUAACUGCGCUGAGGAGCGAAAGCGUGGGGAGCGAACAGG
rnacentral:rRNA from 1 species